rnacentral:rRNA from 1 species
GACGAACGCUGGCGGCGUGCUUAACACAUGCAAGUCGAACGAUGAACCACUUCGGUGGGGAUUAGUGGCGAUCGGGUGAGUAACACGUGGGCAAUCUGCCCUUCACUCUGGGACAAGCCCUGGAAACGGGGUCUAAUACCGGAUACAACACUCUCGGGCAUCCGAUGAGUGUGGAAAGCUCCGGCGGUGAAGGAUGAGCC